UAAUACAUGCAAGUCGAACGAGAAACCUCGACUUCGGUUGGGGGAGUAAAGUGGCGAACGGGUGAGUAACGCGUGGGUAACUUGCCCUUGAGACCGGGAUAACUCCGCGAAAGCGGAGCUAAUACCGGAUUUUGUCUUCUGUGCUCCGGCAUAGAGGAUGAAAGGUGACCUCUUCGUGAAAGUUGCCGCUCAAGGAGAGGCUCGCGUACCAUUAGCUUGUUGGUGGGGUAAUGGCCUACCAAGGCGACGAUGGUUAGCUGGUCUGAGAGGGUGAUCAGCCACACUGGAACUGAAACACGGUCCAGACUCCUACGGGAGGCAGCAGUGAGGAAUCUUGCGCAAUGGGGGAAACCCUGACGCAGCAACGCCGUGUGAGUGAAGAAGGCUCUCGGGUCGUAAAGCUCUGUCAAGUGGGAGAAAAUGCCUUCGCUCAAUAGGCGGAGGAACUGAUGGUACCACUAGAGGAAGCACCGGCUAACACCGUGCCAGCAGCCGCGGUAAUACGGAGGGGGUUAGCGUUGUUCGGAAUUACUGGGCGUAAAGCGCGCGUAGGCGGAUUAGUCAGUCAGAGGUGAAAUCCCGGGGCUCAACCCUGGAACUGCCUUUGAUACUGCUAGUCUUGAGUUCGAGAGAGGCGAGUGGAAUUCCGAGUGUAGAGGUGAAAUUCGUAGAUAUUCGGAGGAACACCAGUGGCGAAGGCGGCUCACUGGCUCGAUACUGACGCUGAGGUGCGAAAGUGUGGGGAGCAAACAGGAUUAGAUACCCUGGUAGUCCACACCGUAAACGAUGAAUGCCAGACGUCGGGCAGCAUGCUGUUCGGUGUCACACCUAACGGAUUAAGCAUUCCGCCUGGGGAGUACGGUCGCAAGAUUAAAACCCAAAGGAAUUGACGGGGGCCCGCACAAGCGGUGGAGCAUGUGGUUUAAUUCGAAGCAACGCGCAGAACCUUACCAACCCUUGACAUCCUGGUCGCGGUUUUCCGAGAGGAAUUCCUUCAGUUCGGCUGGACCAGUGACAGGUGCUGCAUGGCUGUCGUCAGCUCGUGUCGUGAGAUGUUCGGUUAAGUCCGGCAACGAGCGCAACCCACGUCCUUAGUUGCCAGCAGUUCGGCUGGGCACUCUAGGGAAACUGCCCGUGAUAAGCGGGAGGAAGGUGUGGAUGACGUCAAGUCCUCAUGGCCCUUACGGGUUGGGCUACACACGUGCUACAAUGGUGUCUACAGUGGGUU
rnacentral:rRNA from 1 species